rnacentral:lncRNA from 1 species
AAAACUAAUAAAUCUUUACACACAAGUUAUGUUAAAUAAGAAAAUAAAAUUGUCAUCCGACUCACUGCGAAAAAGAAAGGAUUGGAGUUCAAUGUGGUAUCUGGAUUAUGGAUUGUCUCUUGUGUUUGGGGCACUAACUAAUUUUCUGGAUUGUCUACAGGAUUCUUCUUACAGGAAAUUGAACUGCUUGUUCUUCGGAAAUAGGGUCUUGGAUGAUCUCGAAAUAGGUUGUAGGAUGAUUCUCUUUUUAUUUUAAUAUCACAUACAUUGGAGUACACGCCAAAUUUCAACAAUGAG